GUUUAUUUUUUGGAUAAAUUCUAUAUCUUAGUAGUUAAUAUUCGUUUUUGUUAGUUUUCUGAUUUAGUUUCUAAUUAAAAAGUUAAAUUUCUUAAGAUAAUGAUUGAUGUUUGCCCUAAUCUUAAAGCUAUAUAUAUUGUUGAUCGGUGAGAAUUAGGUAUUAUUUUUUCUGUGCCCAUUAGAUAGUUUUCACCGUUAUGAUUUUUUUAUACAGCUACGAUUCUGAUGAAUCAAAUUGUUUGUCAUGCAAAUACUGUUUUCAUUUACCUUUAGACGUCGUGUGCAUAUUGUUUGUUGUUUGUUUUAUUUUUUGCAUUAAUUCGUUGAUUUAUUGUUUUGCUGAUUUGAUUCUUUUGAUAUGUGUUUCAGUUUUGUAGAACGUGGGAGGUUCCAUCGACAAAGCUUUCGGACGAAGAUGGUUUUGACGAGAACAGAACGAGGUUUGGAAAGGUUACAAUGAGAUGUGGGCAUACGAUCAUCAAAGCGUGUUUGUUUCAUCGUACAAAAACUCACGAAAAAACAGAGGUUGCUCGCUCUAAUGUCAUUAUCGUGCAAGUUAUCGUCUCCGGUGGCUCUCUAAAUCGAGAUCGAUGUCGAGAUUGCAAAGCUUGCCAUGGAUGGAAGAUGAGCUUUCGGGAGUGUGUUGAAGUAUAGAAGAAAAGCUUCAAACUUGCAAGUGAUGGCUUCAGGAAAGACACCUGGACUGACUCAGGAAGCUAAUGGGGUUGCAAUUAAUAGACAAAAUGACAAUGAUGUAUUUGACGACAUGAAACAGCGGUUCCUCGCCUUCAAGUAGCAUAAGUACUUUUGCUUUUGCUUUUUCAAUGGUUUAUAAAUUACUUCAAGAAGCGUAAGUAGCAGAACCAAUUUCUUCAGUCUUUUGCUUUUUCAAUGGUUUAUAAAUUACUUUUUGCCUUUCUGUUUCUCCCCACCUUAUGAUAUACUCUUGAGCAGGGAUAACUUAGAACACUACAAAAAUUUGGCAGAUGCUCAAGCUCCGAAGUUUCUGGUGAUCGCUUGUGCAGACUCUAGGGUUUGUCCUUCUACUGUCCUGGGAUUCCAACCGGGUGAUGCAUUCACUGUUCGCAACAUUGCAAAUUUAGUACCUUCAUAUGAGCGUGAAAGAAAGAAUCCUCAUGACCUAAAUGGUGUCUAUAUAUUUAAUGUUCAAGAAAGAAAGUGUAUUGACCGUCCAAUAGCAAGAAAUUCAAUAUCAUAGAAGCCAGAUUAAGAUAAAUGCUUCGACUCUUGGAAGUAUGCAAACACUUGAUGUUGGAUGCAGGACUACGUUUUAUGUUUUCUACACAUAUAUGGCAGAAUAUAUUGGGUUCAAGUUUUCAAACAUAGAACCGAGAAAUCAGAAAAGCAAAACUUUUAUAUUUUAAAGCCGAAUUUCAUAUUCAUCGUCCUCUACUACAUGAGCAGUGUUGGUAAUGUUUAGAUUUCAUGUUGUACUUAUGAAUUGGUGCAGGAUUUGGAUGAACUGAAUAGUGGUAGAGAGAUGGUUUACGAGAGAAUCCAAACUCACUUAACUUGAUCGAAGUCAUAUCAAGAUACUGAAUGUGGUGCUGUUAAUGCUUCUAAUGGCCCCAUUAAUACACAUGUCUAUGGUGGAGGAUGGGCAAACUUGGAUUAUAAUCAUCACUACUCAUUUGCGCCUUGCAACUUCUUGCAUAGACCAAAGCCUAUGUUUGGUCUGGAAGGUCGUCAAGAAGAAGAAGAAUGUGGUGUCAAUGCUUAUCUGGAACAUCGACGUAGGCUUCCUCUCUUCCCUAUGCACGGUGAAGACCACCUCAACGGUGAUAGCGGUGCUAUCUGGAAGUAUGGCCAAUCGAACGAUCGUGAUUGUUUUAGUAGAGACUCUUGUGCUUCUCUUGAGCUACGUAUGAACUAGACACCGUUAUACACAUACAAAGACUUAUUUGGAGAAGACAUCUUCGCUAAUACGUGUACGAAUAUGAACUUUGGUUGGUAUUCAAGUAAGGCAUCUCUUUUUUUGGUAUGGAGUAAAGCAACUCUUUUAGUUGUGUGCAUUGUUUUACUUUUUUUUUAAGAGUUGUGCGAUAUUUUAAUAAAUAGUUUAUUGUCCAUUAUAAAACGGAGUCCGUAUAACUUUUUGUGA